rnacentral:rRNA from 1 species
AUUGAACGCUGGCGGCAGGCCUAACACAUGCAAGUCGAACGAGUGGCGGACGGGUGAGUAAUGUCUGGGAAAAUGCCUGAUGGAGGGGGAUAACUACUGGAAACGGUAGCUAAUACCGCAUACCAUCAGAUGUGCCCAGAUGGGAUUCGCUAGUGGGUUGGGUAACGGCUCACCAAGGCGACGAGCCCGAGCUGGUCUGAGAGGAUGACCAGCCACACUGGAACUGCGAUACGUGCCAGACUCCUACGGUACGCAGCAGUGGGGAAUAGUGCACAAUGGGCGCAAGCCUGAUGCAGCCAUGCCGCGUGUACGAAGAAGGCCUUCAGGUUGUAAAGUACUUUCAGCGGGGAGGCGGUACCCGCAGAAGAAGCACCGGCUAACUCCGUGCCAGCAGCCGCGGUAAUAC